GAGUUUGAUCCUGGCUCAGAUUGAACGCUGGCGGCAGGCCUAACGCAUGCAAGUCGAGCGGAUGAAGGGAGCUUGCUCCUGGAUUCAGCGGCGGACGGGUGAGUAAUGCCUAGGAAUCUGCCUGGGUAGUGGGGGAUAACGUCCGGAAACGGGCGCUAAUACCGCAUACGUCCUGAGGGAGAAAGUGGGGGAUCUUCGGACCUCACGCUAUCAGAUGAGCCUAGGUCGGAUUAGCUAGUUGGUGGGGUAAAGGCCUACCAAGGCGACGAUCCGUAACUGGUCUGAGAGGAUGAUCAGUCACACUGGAACUGAGACACGGUCCAGACUCCUACGGGAGGCAGCAGUGGGGAAUAUUGGACAAUGGGCGAAAGCCUGAUCCAGCCAUGCCGCGUGUGUGAAGAAGGUCUUCGGAUUGUAAAGCACUCUAAGUUGGGAGGAAGGGCAGUAAGUUAAUACCUUGCUGUUUUGACGUUACCAACAGAAUAAGCACCGGCUAACUUCGUGCCAGCCGCCGCA
rnacentral:rRNA from 1 species